CAGGAGACCUGAGGGCCUGGGUCUCUUGACCUGGGCAGCUGCUCAGAAACCAAACAAGAGCCAUUGAUCCUGCAGGAACCGCAUCGGGCGCACGGAGGUGGAGAAAGCCCUGAGCGAACAUCCGGCGUGGCAGGAUCAGCUGUGAGGAGCAGCCAGGACCUGAUUCGAAGGAGGUAAGGAGGACACAGAGGUCCUUGUGUCUGUCCGUGGGCACUAGUGCAGGGGAGACAUUCAAAUCUAGGCUAUCAAGUGUGCUGGGAGGAAAAUGGUAGAAAUUCUGGACCUUGUCUCCUGGACAAUGUACAUAUCUUUCCCAUAUUAGGAAGCUAGAAGAGACACUUUAUGAACUGGAUGCAACCAAGAAUGAGCUGUCAGCUGCCGAAGAUAAUCUGAAGGUGACCAAAGAAGAAAUGUACAAGUAUAAGUAAAGAAAAAUGAUUAAGGAAAGGCUGUAACAAUAGCUUUGAUCCUACUGUCCACUUAUAAUCCGACAAGUGGAAGACAUGCAAGAUCAGCUGCAGAAGUCUAAGUUCACCUUCAAUCACCAAAUCGCAGUGCAGGAGAGGAAUGCUGUGGCUAACUGGGUAAGUGUUUUCCUUUUCCUCGUCUUCUCUUGGGGCACAGUCUGGCACAACCGAUGAUGGGUGUGUUU